CUCAGCCAUGCAGCAAUGUUUGGGCAAAUAGUUGCUUUUAAGACUGUUCUGUGUGUUCAAUCGUUAACAUCUGCUCUAGGUUGUUCUUCCCUGCAA
rnacentral:lncRNA from 1 species